rnacentral:rRNA from 1 species
UCCGGCCUGAGAGGGUGAACGGACACACUGGAACUGAGACACGGUCCAGACUCCUACGGGAGGCAGCAGUAGGGAAUAUUGCUCAAUGGGGGAAACCCUGAAGCAGCAACGCCGCGUGGAGGAUGAAGGUUCUAGGAUUGUAAACUCCUUUUGUUAGAGAAGAUAAUGACGGUAUCUAACGAAUAAGCACCGGCUAACUCCGUGCCAGCAGCCGCGGUAAUACGGAGGGUGCAAGCGUUACUCGGAAUCACUGGGCGUAAAGAGCGCGUAGGCGGGAUAGUCAGUCAGGUGUGAAAUCCUAUGGCUUAACCAUAGAACUGCAUUUGAAACUACUAUUCUAGAGUGUGGGAGAGGUAGGUGGAAUUCUUGGUGUAGGGGUAAAAUCCGUAGAGAUCAAGAGGAAUACUCAUUGCGAAGGCGACCUGCUGGAACAUUACUGACGCUGAUUGCGCUUAAGCCGUGGGAAAA